rnacentral:rRNA from 1 species
GACCUCAGAUCAGGUAGGACUACCCGCUGAACUUAAGCAUAUCAAUAAGCGGAGGAAAAGAAACUAACAAGGAUUCCCCUAGUAACGGCGAGCGAACCGGGAAGAGCUCAAAUUUGAAAUCUGGCGUCCCACGGGCGUCCGAGUUGUAAUCUGCAGAGGCGUCUUCCGCCCCGGACCGCGUCCAAGUCCCUUGGAACAGGGUAUCAAAGAGGGUGACAAUCCCGUGCUUGACGYGACCCCCGGUGCUAUGUGAUGCGACCUCAAAGAGUCGAGUUGUUUGGGAAUGCAGCUCAAAACGGGUGGUAAAUUCCAUCUAAGGCUAAAUAUUGGCGAGAGACCGAUAGCGAACAAGUACCGUGAGGGAAAGAUGAAAAGCACUUUGGAAAGAGAGUUAAACAGUACGUGAAAUUGUUGGAAGGGAAACGAUUGAAGUCAGUCGUGUCCGAGGGGUUCAGCCGGUCCUGCCGGUGCACUCCCCUCGGACGGGUCAACAUCGGUUCUGKCCGGCGGACAAGGGCAGGGGGAACGUGGCACCCUCGUGGUGUGUUAUAGCCCCCCGUCGCAUACGUCGGUCGGGACCGAGGAUCGCAGCUCGCCCUCACGGGCCGGGGUUCGCCCACGUCCGAGCUUAGGAUGUUGACGUAAUGGCUUUAAACGACCCGUCUUGAAACACGGACCAAGGAGUCUAACAUAUCUGCGAGUGUUUGGGUGUCAAACCCGGACGCGUAAUGAAAGUGAACGUAGGAGGGAUCCGCGAGGAGCACCUUCGACCGAUCCGGAUCUUCUGUGAUGGAUUUGAGUGAGAGCAUAUAUGCUGGGACCCGAAAGAUGGUGAACUAUGCCUGAAUAGGGCGAAGCCAGGGGAAACUCUGGUGGAGGCUCGUAGCGAUUCUGACGUGCAAAUCGAUCGUCAAAUUUGGGUAUAGGGGCGAAAGACUAAUCGAACCAUCUAAUGG